AACGAACGCUGGCGGCAUGCCUAACACAUGCAAGUCGAACGAGACCUUCGGGUCUUGUGGCGCCCGGGUGCGUAACGCGUGGGAACCUGCCCUUAGGGUCGGAAUAACUCCCCGAAAGGGGUGCUAAUACCGGAUAAUGUCUUCGGACCAAAGAUUUAUCGCCUUUGGAUGGGCCCGCGUUGGAUUAGCUAGUUGGUAGGGUAAAAGCCUACCAAGGCGACGAUCCAUAGCUGGUCUGAGAGGAUGAUCAGCGACACUGGGACUGAGACACGGCCCAGACUCCUACGGGAGGCAGGAGUGGGGAAUAUUGGACCAUGGGCGAAAGGCUGAUCCAGCAAUGCCGCGUGAGUGAUGAAGGCCUUAGGGUUGUAAAGCUCUUUUACCCGGGAUGAUAAUGACAGUACCGGGAGAAUAAGCUCCGGCUAACUCCGUG
rnacentral:rRNA from 1 species